rnacentral:lncRNA from 1 species
UACAUUUCAUCACCUGGUUAGUGGCAUGAAGGAGAGUACGGGUUGUACAUUUCAUCACCUGGUUGGUGGCAUAAAGAUGAGUUCCUUCUUCACCUGGUUAAUGGUAUGAGUGGCAAGUUGCCAAAAGAUAUUAGAGUACGGGUUGUACAUUUCAUCACCUGGUUGGUGGCAUGAAAGAGAGUACGGGUUGUACCUUUCAUCACCUGGUUAGUGGCAUGAAGAUGAGUUCCUUCUUCAUCUGGUUGGUGGCAUGAGUGGCAAGUUACCAAAUGAUAUUAGAGUACGGGUUGUACAUUUUAUCACCUGGUUGGUGGCAUGAAGGAGAGUACGGGUUGUACAUUUCAUCACCUGGUUGGUGGCAUGAAGAUGAGUUCCUUCUUCACAUUUCAUCACAUGGUUGGUGAGAAUAAGGGCAAGGUGUCGAGGCAUAUUGUAGCAAGUGUCGAAGACACAAAGUAUGUUGAACCUUUUUUAAGCACAGUUGGCUUAUGUAUGGAUGUGUUGGAAUGUAUGAUGUUUAUGUAUGAAUGUGUUGGAAUGUAUGAUGUUUAUGUAUGAAUGUGUUAGAAUGUAUGAUGUUUAUGUUGAUUGAUAUGAGUGAUGCUUAUGAAUGUUUUGCUAUGCAUGAAGGGAUCCAUGCUUUGGAUAUGUGAACCAUGUUGGUUGUAACACUUAGUAUCACAUACUUUGUGUCAAAGUAUGCAUGUUGAAGCUCUGAGUUGGAGUAUAAGGGUAGGUCAAUGUAGACCAAGUGUUCCAGUGCUAGGAAUGCAAAAGACUCUGAAGAAGUUAUCUGAAUUCCCUUUUCUUUAAAUAUUUGCCGAAUGGCUUGUGUGAGAAAAGAUCUUAAGCGGUUGAGAGUCAAAACAUUUGUAAUGUGUAUGCCUUCUUAUGAUAGCAUUUCCUUCAGUACAUAGUCCUCCACUUUGAAAGAGUGAGGCUUGGCCCCAUAGUUAUAAUAGUCAACGGUACGUUCACCCCUGGUUGUCUUGAUACGAACUUUAAUCCCUCUUGUUGUAAUGGGCUUGCUGAGAGUAAAAAUCCUUCCUCUUACCAAGAGACAGAUACGUUUGGUGACUUAGCGAGUAGCUAAAUGAGGCAGGAGAUGAUGCAAUGGGUGUCUGAAUGGCCAAUAUCUCCUCACUUGGUAGAACUUCACUUACAUUUCCCACUUGUUGAUAAGGGUUAACCAUAUGGGGGUUCCUUUGGUAUGUCCUUACUUCGGCAGAGGCGUGGUUGUAAGCCUGUGCCAUCACCUCAGAGUAAGUCUUCCAAGUGUUGGCAUUGAUCAUGUACUUGAAGAAACAAUCACGUAGGCCUGCCGUGACAGCCUUGAGGUCGGUCUUGUCAUCUGCCUCAGUGCAGCGAGAAUACUCAUGGUUGAAGCGACCGGCAUACUCUCGUAGUGAAUCGUCCGGCUUUUGGCGAAUAGUGUACAAGUCAUUAGUUUAGAGCUCCGCCAGAGAAGGUGGAGGGGAAGAGAAGACAUCGCUCUUCGUUGGUGUGCAUCUGAUAUGCCAUGGUGGACUCAAAGAGGUUAAGGUGUUCAAUUGGGUCCUCCCUUCUAGUAUAGAGUUGUAAACCAAGCUUUUGUUUUGUCUUCGCUUAAAAAGGGUGUCGAGAAUCCUUUUUGUGAAAGGGCCAGGCCUGGGUUGGUUCCAGUCAGGUAUCUCGGCCUGACGUUAGGCCUUCAACUUGUUUACUUCCUCAAGGAGCUAUAGGACAAGGGCCUGUGGUUUUUUCUUGGACUAGCCGUACUGACUU